CGAUAAGUCUUCUAUGUCUGCCCUCAUUGGCCAUAGUGGCAGCCACUGAAUUGUUUCCUCUCAGUGUGAUUCCUGUGUAUAAUUGUCUGUUGCUUUUGGCAUGGUGCAGACUUCGUUUUAUAAAUAGCUACUUUCUGUUCUGAAUUGCUAACAGCAUGUGGUAUUUUUAGUGCUGGAUUAGGUGUUUGGUGGCCCAUGAGGAUUUGAUUACCAGGUUUAUCGGGCUCAAAGCGAGGUGAUCAGUCUGAAAAUUGACCCCGUAAAUCUCCACACAGCAUGCAUGAUGCCUGGGUUCUGCACACCUGAAUCAGCACAAGACCUUAUCACCUCAUCAAGAGACGUUAUUUUGACUGUGCAGUUGUUAAAUUGUCCGUACAGGUGAGGGGUUGGAUUUGGGACUUUGCGUCACCUGCAUAUUUCAUAUCUCAUUUCUCUGUUUGUGACUGACACGUGCGUCGGCAUCACUGUGAAAAGCCCCUGUUAACUACCCCGUGCUGUGCAUGGC
ensembl:lncRNA